CCAGUCUUGUAUUCAAUUAUGAUUUUAAAUUGCAAGUUUAAAGGUGGUAUUUUCCUAAGGCU
rnacentral:tRNA from 1 species